rnacentral:lncRNA from 1 species
CAAGUCAUGUGAGAGUCAUAGAUAUGCAUAACUUCCCUCUUAUCUCCAGCUCUAUCGUCGAGCUUCUUCAUGAGCAGGUCUAGGUUUGCAGACAGCAUGUCUACUUCCUUGAGCUGAUGCAUACCUCCACCUCUCUUGCGUGUCUGGGUCCUCUCUUCAUUCUAGCCUUGAUUGGAUGCCAUCUUCUCCACAAGAGCUGUGGCUUGUGGUAUAGUAAGUGAUAAGAAUGCUCCUCCAGCUGCA